ACGCCAGCAAAAUCUGGCGUCGGGAUUGGCAUCCCGGUUAAACUUAAUGGCGGCGUAAGCUCUUGUU
rnacentral:sRNA from 2 species